rnacentral:rRNA from 1 species
UAAGACGAACCGUGCAAACGUUGUUCGGAAUCACUGGGCUUAAAGGGCGCGUAGGCGGGUGGUCUUGUCCGAGGUGAAAGCCUCCCGCUCAACGGGAGAAGUGCCUUGGAAACGGGCCGCCUCGAGGGGGAUAGGGGCAUGUGGAACUUCCGGUGGAGCGGUGAAAUGCGUAGAUAUCGGAAGGAACGCCGGUGGCGAAAGCGACGUGCUGGGUCCCUUCUGACGCUGAGGCGCGAAAGCCAGGGGAGCAAACGGGAUUAGAUACCCCGGUAGUCCUGGCCCUAAACGAUGGGUACUAGGUUGCGGACUGGACAUGGGUUCGCAGCCGAAGCAAAAGUGAUAAGUACCCCGCCUGGGGAGUAUGGUCGCAAGGCUG